rnacentral:rRNA from 1 species
UGGGGAAUAUUGGACAAUGGGCGCAAGCCUGAUCCAGCAAUGCCGCGUGAGUGAUGAAGGCCUUAGGGUUGUAAAGCUCUUUCGCACGCGACGAUGAUGACGGUAGCGUGGGAAGAGGCCCCGGCUAACUUCGUGCCAGCAGCCGCGGUAAUACGAAGGGGGCUAGCGUUGUUCGGAAUUACUGGGCGUAAAGGGCGCGUAGGCGGCCUGUUUAGUCAGAAGUGAAAGCCCCGGGCUCAACCUGGGAAUAGCUUUUGAUACUGGCAGGCUUGAGUUCCGGAGAGGAUGGUGGAAUUCCCAGUGUAGAGGUGAAAUUCGUAGAUAUUGGGAAGAACACCGGUGGCGAAGGCGGCCAUCUGGACGGACACUGACGCUGAGGCGCGAAAGCGUGGGGAGCAAACAGAUUAGAUACCCUGGUAGUCCACGCCGUAAACGAUGAAUGCUAGACGUCGGGGUGCAUNCACUUCGGUGUCGCCGCUAACGCAUUAAGCAUUCCGCCUGGGGAGUACGGCCGCAAGGUUAAAACUCAAAUGAAUUGACGGGGUC